rnacentral:rRNA from 1 species
GACGAACGCUGGCGGCGUGCCUAAUACAUGCAAGUCGAACGCUGAAGAGAGGAGCUUGCUCUUCUUGGAUGAGUUGCGAACGGGUGAGUAACGCGUAGGUAACCUGCCUUGUAGCGGGGGAUAACUAUUGGAAACGAUAGCUAAUACCGCAUAACAAUGGAUGACACAUGUCAUUUAUUUGAAAGGGGCAAUUGCUCCACUACAAGAUGGACCUGCGUUGUAUUAGCUAGUAGGUGAGGUAACGGCUCACCUAGGCGACGAUACAUAGCCGACCUGAGAGGGUGAUCGGCCACACUGGGACUGAGACAUGGCCCAGACUCCUACGGGAGGCAGCAGUAGGGAAUCUUCGGCAAUGGGGGCAACCCUGACCGAGCAACGCCGCGUGAGUGAAGAAGGGUUUCGGAUCGUAAAGCUCUGUUGUAAGUCAAGAACGAGUGUGAGAGUGGAAAGUUCACACUGUGACGGUAGCUUACCAGAAAGGGACGGCUAACUACGUG